rnacentral:lncRNA from 1 species
CUUCUUCUUCUUCUCCUCCUCUUCUUCUUCUUCUUCUUCUUCUUCUUCUUCGUUCCUUCUUCUUCUUAUUCUUCUUCUUCUUCUUCUUCCUCCUCCUCCUUCUUCUUCUUCUUCUUCUUCUUCUUCUUCCUUCUUCUUCUUCUUCUUCUUCUUCUUCUUCUUCUUCUUCCUUCUUUUCCUUUUUCCUCUUCCUUCUUCUUCUCUUCUCC